rnacentral:rRNA from 1 species
AUGGGGAAUAUUGGACAAUGGGGGGAACCCUGAUCCAGCCAUGCCGCGUGUGUGAAGAAGGCCUUUUGGUUGUAAAGCACUUUAAGCGAGGAGGUGGCUACCGAGAUUAAUACUCUUGGAUAGUGGACGUUACUCGCAGAAUAAGCACCGGCUAACUCUGUGCCAGCAGCCGCGGUAAUACAGAGGGUGCAAGCGUUAAUCGGAUUUACUGGGCGUAAAGCGCGCGUAGGUGGCCAAUUAAGUCAAAUGUGAAAUCCCCGAGCUUAACUUGGGAAUUGCAUUCGAUACUGGUUGGCUAGAGUAUGGGAGAGGAUGGUAGAAUUCCAGGUGUAGCGGUGAAAUGCGUAGAGAUCUGGAGGAAUACCGAUGGCGAAGGCAGCCAUCUGGCCUAAUACUGACACUGAGGUGCGAAAGCAUGGGGAGCAAACAGGAUUAGAAACCCGUGUAGUCC